rfam:Asian citrus Psyllid, Diaphorina citri - Florida Strain, whole genome shotgun sequence.
ACCUCGGUGGUGUAGUGGUCAAGGCGCUUGCCUGGUAAACAGGAGGGCGUGGUUUCAAUCCCAGCCGAGGUA